rnacentral:rRNA from 1 species
AUGCACGCUGGCGGCGUGCCUAAUACAUGCAGGUCGAGCGAACAGACGAGGAGCUUGCUCCUCUGACGUUAGCGGCGGACGGGUGAGUAACACGUGGAUAACCUACCUAUAAGACUGGGAUAACUUCGGGAAACCGGAGCUAAUACCGGAUAAUAUAUUGAACCGCAUGGUUCAAUAGUGAAAGACGGUUUUGCUGUCACUUAUAGAUGGAUCCGCGCCGCAUUAGCUAGUUGGUAAGGUAACGGCUUACCAAGGCAACGAUGCGUAGCCGACCUGAGAGGGUGAUCGGCCACACUGGAACUGAGACACGGUCCAGACUCCUACGGGAGGCAGCAGUAGGGAAUCUUCCGCAAUGGGCGAAAGCCUGACGGAGCAACGCCGCGUGAGUGAUGAAGGUCUUCGGAUCGUAAAACUCUGUUAUUAGGGAAGAACAAAUGUGUAAGUAACUAUGCACGUCUUGACGGUACCUAAUCAGAAAGCCACGGCUAACUACGUGC